UACGUAGGGUGCGAGCGUUGUCCGGAAUUACUGGGCGUAAAGAGCUCGUAGGUGGUUUGUCGCGUUGUUCGUGAAAACUCACGGCUUAACUGUGAGCGUGCGGGCGAUACGGGCAGACUGGAGUACUGCAGGGGAGACUGGAAUUCCUGGUGUAGCGGUGGAAUGCGCAGAUAUCAGGAGGAACACCGGUGGCGAAGGCGGGUCUCUGGGCAGUAACUGACGCUGAGGAGCGAAAGCGUGGGGGAGCGAACAGG
rnacentral:rRNA from 1 species